UCAAAAAGUUUGCUUUUGCUUUUUUAUUUUAAAAAUUAAAAUUUAAUAAAACAAAGAGAAAGAAACAAACAAAAAAAUUCGUAGAAUUGUUCCUGGUUUGUCGAUUGUCAUGUUCCUCUAGCUGUGUUAGGUUCCAUUCCAAACUACCACCAGGAAUUCUACCACAUGGUUUGCCCAUUGUAAAGGAAGUUGCAUCAGCCAUAACACCACUUGAACACAAAAAAGAAGGGCUCUAUCUGAGAAUGUCGACAUCUACACAGACUACAUUGGAGGUGGUGAUAAUGAAGAGUCAAACGAUGGGAGGACAAAUGCUAGGUUGUCGUUGAAUCGAGCUUUCUAUGAAGACCCAUAGUCUAAGAAUCGAUGCAUCACUUCAAUGGAUUGGUCAACACAUUUUCCUGAACUGGUUGUUGCUUCAUAUCACAAAAAUGAGGAGAGUCCCAAUGAACCAGAUGGUGUUGUGGUGUUGUAAUGGUCUGGAACACAAAAUAUAAAAAACAAGCACCCGAAGAUGUAUUCCAUUGUCAGAGUGCCGUUAUGUCAACAUGCUUUACUAAAUUCAAUUCAAUGAAUGAAUGUCCAGAGGACACCACAAGAUACGAACCCAGUGUACUGUUUGCAAAUGGUUGGCACACACAAUGUGAUAUCGAUCUCAUCCGAUGGCAAGCUUUGCUCUUGGAGUUUGGAUAUGUUGUCGAUGCCGCAAGAUACACUGGAAUUGCAGCAACGGCAAUCGAAGCCAAUUGCUAUCACUUGCAUGUUCUUUUCAUCGAAUGAGAUUAACAAUCUAGCAAUGGCAAUGUUUAUUCUGCUUAUCGACAUGGAAUACGUUCGGGUGUGUCUGAAGUCUAUGAGAAGCAUUUUGCGUCCAGUGACGGGAAUAUCAACUCAUCUAAAUCAAUCUACACCAGAUUUUGGUGAUUUGUUCCUUACAUCGUCCAUUGAUUGGACAAUUAAGUUAUGGAAUCUUAAGGUGAAUUAUGUUCAGUAAGCUCAAAAAUCAUAUUGGUUAAAAUGCAAAGCGCUCCUUUUUAUUGUUUUCACAAGAACCAAGCCACUCGUUCUUUAAGCCUACUUCAUCCCACAACAGCUCCCUGGCCCUGUAUAAACAAAAACAUUUUCCAGUCAUCAAGACGUUUAUUUAAGAUAAGAUGGAGGUUUAUGUCUAUUAAUCCAUCUACUUCUGCUUUGCUGCAUUAUGUUUAAUUGGAUAAAAAAGCUACUAUUGAAAUCGACAAUCUGGAGAAUCGAAGUCAAAUCAAUUCAGGAAUGCUGUGAUUAAUAACCAGGCUAAUCAUAAUUUGCAUAAUGAAGAACUCUUGUCUAGAGGAGCUAUACGCAUGUGGCACAAUGAGUUGAAUGAGAUAAAAUUUAUUAAUUUUGUUUUGUUUUUAAUUGAACCAAUAUUGUUUUAACUUUUUGAUUGUAUAUUAAAUAUUUAUGCAAAGUGAAACGAAUUUGUUUAACAACAGUUGGAAUAUAAAGUAAAAUUUGUUCAAUUGUACUUAAUCUAUUGAAUCAUCUCUCAUAUAGACUCAAUUUACUUAUUAUGUUUUAACAGUAAUUUUUUUCAAUCAAGCCUUACACCCAAACUUAUAAUCCCUAAAAAGAAUAAAAACUUAAAUUACUUAGUGAUCACAUGAAAUGAUUUUCUAUCUUAAUUGUGGCGAAUGAUAAAAAAAAAUUAGCAUUAGCUUUUAGUUUCAUAAACUGGACGGCGGGAGGUGAUUGAGACUUUGGUAGGAGCAGUGGUUGUGGUGGUUGAUGUGACUGUGACUGGGAUUGUGAUGUGGUUACAAUUUUAUUCUGCUCCGUGUCGCUUUUCUUCUUCUUUCUUGUUGAUUUUUCCUCGGCAUUAGCUUCAUCU